CCUGUCCCUCUCCUGCAACCUGUAUCCUCCCCACUCCUGAGACCAGGUCGGGGCUGGCAUCUGCAGGCAGACACGGAAAGGCAGUGUCUAAAGAGCAGAGUGAGGGACAGAGGAAGAGGAAGAAGUAAGCAGGAGGAGGAAAAAGGAGGAAAGGGAAAAGGAGGAGGGGGGAGGACCGAUGUCUUUAAUGACCUUGGAGCUAACCCUGGCCCCACUGAGCUGAACUCAAUUGCUGUAUCCAAGGACCAGGGCUGACUGAUGCCCUGCCCAACUUGUCUCUAGAAAAGGAUGUGACAGGGGAAGCAAAUGUAUCCUAAGGGUACAGGGCCAGUCCCUGUUGUGCUGGUAAGGCCAGUGUGGCCUUGACAGAGAUCCGGGUACUGGACAUUGGGAGGGUGAGCCUCUCACGUGGGGGUAUCAGGGCCUUCCAUCCCCCCACCCUCUACACUCCCAGGGGCUUCAGUAGGACCAUGGGGUGCACUGUCCAAGGCUGGCCGGGACACCUUGCUGAGAUGACUCCUUAGAGCCACAGGUGAGGUGGCCCUGGGGCAGAGGGUACUUCUGGCCACGCUAAUCCCCCACUCCACCCCCACCUCUCUGAGGGGAGGGGGUCCUCAGGGAAAGCAUAAGAACCAGAAUUUUGGAGACUUGGGUCUUCAACUCACCUCAGGACCCUUGACCAGCUUUGACCUCUCUGGGCCUCCAUUUCUCUGUCAUAAAAUGGUGGAUGCCCCAGCCUGCCUGCCUCCUGGGAUUUGGGGACAGAAGCAGCCAUACCGAGGAGACAGACAGUCACUGAAAUGGGUGGGCUAGGGCAGCUCAGAUGACAAAGUGGAAGUGCCCUUCCUAUCCCCAAGCUUGGCCCACACCUCUCUCCUUCAUCAAGUGGCUCUCUGGGUCCAGCUCUUAAGGGUGAGGCUGCUUCAGGCCUUUAGAAAUGGGGGUAGGGGAGGCUAAGGGCCAGGGGCAGGGCCUGGGGACAGAGCAGACUCCUCAGAGGGGAAAGAAGGACAUAAAAACAAACUCAUGUAGAGGCUGCAGGCCUGAGGUCCAGCUCUGGUGGGGAAGUGUGGAGCUCCUCUGAAAAGGACCGAGGGGUCAGACGGAGAAAUUGCCCCUGGCACUCUAGCCGCCCCUACUUUCCUGACUCCUGGGCAGUGAGCAAUGUGUUGCAAGGGGAGCAGGAGGCAGUUUAGGAAAUCCUUUGCUGCUUCUGCCCCUAGCUCUUAUCAAUAAAGAUGGUGACACAUGACAA
rnacentral:lncRNA from 1 species